rnacentral:rRNA from 1 species
CGGCGGCCGUAACUAUAACGGUCCUAAGGUAGCGAAAUUCCUUGUCGGGUAAGUUCCGACCUGCACGAAUGGCGUAAUGAUGGCCAGGCUGUCUCCACCCGAGACUCAGUGAAAUUGAACUCGCUGUGAAGAUGCAGUGUACCCGCGGCAAGACGGAAAGACCCCGUGAACCUUUACUAUAGCUUGACACUGAACAUUGAGCCUUGAUGUGUAGGAUAGGUGGGAGGCUUAGAAGUGUGGACGCCAGUCUGCAUGGAGCCGACCUUGAAAUACCACCCUUUAAUGUUUGAUGUUCUAACGUUGACCCGUAAUCCGGGUUGCGGACAGUGUCUGGUGGGUAGUUUGACUGGGGCGGUCUCCUCCUAAAGAGUAACGGAGGAGCACGAAGGUUGGCUAAUCCUGGUCGGACAUCAGGAGGUUAGUGCAAUGGCAUAAGCCAGCUUGACUGCGAGCGUGACGGCGCGAGCAGGUGCGAAAGCAGGUCAUAGUGAUCCGGUGGUUCUGAAUGGAAGGGCCAUCGCUCAACGGAUAAAAGGUACUCCGGGGAUAACAGGCUGAUACCGCCCAAGAGUUCAUAUCGACGGCGGUGUUUGGCACCUCGAUGUCGGCUCAUCACAUCCUGGGGCUGAAGUAGGUCCCAAGGGUAUGGCUGUUCGCCAUUUAAAGUGGUACGCGAGCUGGGUUUAGAACGUCGUGAGACAGUUCGGUCCCUAUCUGCCGUGGGCGCUGGAGAACUGAGGGGGGCUGCUCCUAGUACGAGAGGACCGGAGUGGACGCAUCACUGGUGUUCGGGUUGUCAUGCCAAUGGCACUGCCCGGUAGCUAAAUGCGGAAGAGAUAAGUGCUGAAAGCAUCUAAGCACGAAACUUGCCCCGAGAUGAGUUCUCCCUGACUCCUUGAGAGUCCUGAAGGAACGUUGAAGACGACGACGUUGAUAGGCCGGGUGUGUAAGCGCAGCGAUGCGUUGAGCUAACCGGUACUAAUGAACCGUGAGGCUUAACCUU